GUCUUUUUGAUUAUAAUCUAAAGUCUAAUCUGCUCAAUGAGGAGUUAAAUAGCCGCAGUAUUUUGACUGUGCGAAGGUAGCAUAAUAAUUAGUCUCUUGAUUAGGGACUUGUAUGAAUGAUUGAACAAGAAAAUUUCUGUCUCUUUUUAAUUUAUUUACGAAUUUAAUUUUUGAGUUAAAAUGCUCAAAUGUUUAUAAAAGACGAGAAGACCCCAUAGAGUUUUAUUUUUAUAUAUUUUUAGUAUAAUUAUUCUAAACAAAAAUUAGUUGGGGUGACUAGAAGAUUUAAUAAACUCUUUAAAUUAAAAUCAUUGAUUUAUGAAUAUAAAGUCUAGUUUUUAUAAGUUUAAAUUAAAUUACCUUGGGGAUAACAGCGUAAUUUCUUUUUAGAGUUCUUAUCAAAUAAGAAGAUUGCGACCUCGAUGUUGGAUUAAAAUUUAUUUUGGGUGUAGAAGCUUAAAUAUUAAGUCUGUUCGACUUUUAAAAUUUU
rnacentral:rRNA from 1 species